rnacentral:rRNA from 1 species
CAAUAGCGUAUAUUUAAGUUGCUGCAGUUAAAAAGCUCGUAGUUGGAUUUCGGGUGGGAAUGGCCGGUCCGCCGUUUCGGUGUGCACUUGCUACGCCCACCUUGCUGCCGGGGACGUGCUCUUGAGUUCACGCUCGGGACACGGAGUCGGCGAGGUUACUUUGAGUAAAUUAGAGUGUUCAAAGCAGGCCUACGCACUGAAUACAUUAGCAUGGAAUAACACGAUAGGACUCUGGCCUAUCUUGUUGGUCUGUAGGACCGGAGUAAUGAUUAAGAGGGACAGUCGGGGGCAUUCGUAUUUCAUUGUCAGAGGUGAAAUUCUUGGAUUUAUGAAAGACGAACUACUGCGAAAGCAUUUGCCAAGGAUGUUUUCAUUAA